UACGUAGGGGGGCUAGCGUUGUCCGGAAUCAUUGGGCGUAAAGCGCGUGUAGGCGGUCCGGUAAGUCCGCUGUGAAAGUCGGGGGCUCAACCUCGAAUGCCGGUGGAUACUGUCGGGCUAGAGUGCGGAAGAGGAGAGUGGAAUUCCUGGUGUAGCGGUGAAAUGCGCAGAUAUCAGGAAGAACACCAAUGGCGAAGGCAGCUCGCUGGGACGUGACUGACGCUGAGACGCGAAAGCGUGGGGAGCAAACAGG
rnacentral:rRNA from 1 species